rnacentral:tRNA from 1 species
AGCCUUAUAUUCAAUAAUGAUAUUAAAUUGCAAAUUUAAAGGUAAAUAAAUUUUAAGGCUU